UUGAUGGCUCGACUCAAGCAG
rnacentral:misc_RNA from 1 species